rnacentral:rRNA from 1 species
UAGGGAAUCUUCCACAAUGGACGCAAGUCUGAUGGAGCAACGCCGCGUGAGUGAAGAAGGUCUUCGGAUCGUAAACUCUGUUGUUAGAGAAGAACACGAGUGAGAGUAACUGUUCUAUUCGAUGACGGUAUACUAACCAGCAAGUCACGGCUAACUACGUGCCAG